rfam:Chlorocebus sabaeus isolate 1994-021 chromosome 21, whole genome shotgun sequence.
AGGGGUAUGGCUCAGGGGUAGAGCAUAUAACUACAGAUCAAGAGGUCCCUGGUUCGAAUCCAGGUGCCCCCU